CACGUAGGGCGCAAGCGUUGUCCGGAAUUAUUGGGCGUAAAGAGCUCGUAGGCGGUCUGUUGCGUCCGCUGUGAAAACCCAGGGCUUAACCCUGGGCUGGCAGUGGAUACGGACAGACUAGAGGUAGGUAGGGGAGAAUGGAAUUCCUGGUGUAGCGGUGAAAUGCGCAGAUAUCAGGAGGAACACCAAUGGCGAAGGCAGCUCGCUGGGACGGUACUGACGCUGAGACGCGAAAGCGUGGGGAGCAAACAGG
rnacentral:rRNA from 1 species